CCCCCUGGCGCCGUCUCCCUCUGUCCCUCUCCCGAUUUCUCUCUCGCCUCUGUGCCAAGCCGCCGGCCACCGUGAAGGGCAGCAACAAAGCUGCACCACGAGCACGCCACCGGUUCCACCACGUCGACCACCACACGCACGGUAGCAGACUCUCUCUCUCUCUCUCUCUCUCUCUCUCCGUUUCUCCCAUCUCUCAGCCGCCACCCACGCCAUCGGCCACCACGAGCACGCCAGCCACGGAAAAUCACCACCACACGACGCCGCAACCAAGCCCCUUUCCGUCGAGCACCACCCCUCGCCGUCCAGAAAAAAAAAAGCCCCACACCGUUUUUCUCUGCCUCUACUCUGCACUGUCUCUGGCCCCGUGCCACCGUGCGCUACCAGGCGGUCGUCGAGCUCCUUUGCCGUCGUACCACCACUGUUCCUCCUUAAGCGUAAGCCGAGCACCACCCAGCUGAAGUCCAGCAGCGCAGCCACGUCUGAGCCACCAAAAUCCCAUUAUCGAGCGCAGCACCACCACGGGCUCCUCCACGCAAGGCCCACUGCCCAACACUGCUCAGCCCACCUCAGACCACUGAAGCCAUAAGUCAACCCACUUCAGCCGCACGCUUCCCUCGCUGCUCAGCGCCUUAAGUUGUGAAAAUCCAUUUGGUGAAACUCACUAAGAAGUUUGGGCUUGUGAGGAUUUCUAUGAAUGUCAAUAUAUGCUGAUGUUGUAUUGUAUUCAAAUAGUCGUCUGAAUCAAUUAAUGCCCACACGUUUCCCAUUUUGAGCAUUUCAUCCUGAUUCUUGAGUGUGGCCCUAGCCAUAAAGCCCUUAUCACUGAUUCUUCAAUUGCAAGAUUGAUAUGUUACCAAAAGCCUUCGCUUUGGUUAAAUUAUUAUUUUCAUCGCACCAUUUGCUCUCAUUUCCUAGGGAAUCAGUUUCAAAACUUUUGCUGGUCUUCACGACUGCCACGUAUUCGACAAAAAGUCCAACCCAAGUUGAAAGGGUAGAAGUUGUAGACCACCCAAAAAACUCCAUUGAUGUUCUGAGGAAAUGGGGUUGUAGUGAUGAUGAUAUAUCGAAGAUAAUUGUCCGCCGCCCUUAUUUACGCCAGGCCGACAUUGCCGACCUUCAAUCCAAACUUAACAUGCUCAGUGGCUUGGGUAUUGGAGCUCAUGAUCUUUUGAAGAUGAUCAAUUGUCGCUCCAAGUUUCUAAGUUUUCGAAUAAAUCAUUGCUUUGAUGAGCGGCUUGAAUUUUUUAUGACAUUGUUUGAGUCAAGGGAAGUGCUUGCUAAAGCUAUUGUUAGGGACCCUUCACUUUUAACAUAUGACUUCAAUAACAUGAUCAAGCCUGCCAUUGCACUGUAUCAAGAGGUGGGUGUUAGUAGAAAGGACUUGAUUCCUAUGCUCCUUUCCCGGCCCACCAUGAUACCUCGAACUUCAUUCGAUGAAGAGAAAAUGGAAUAUAUUCGCAAAACUGGGAUUUCCAAGGAUUCCAAGAUGUAUAAAUAUGUUGUUACAAUCAUCGGCAUCUCACGCCACGAAACAAUCCGUCAAAAGGUGGGAAAUUUUGAAAAGUUCGGGUUUUCAAAUGAUGAAAUCUUCAAUCUUUUUGGGAGAUCCCCCCUUAUGUUGACACUAUCAGUUGAUAAGGUACAGAGGAACAUGACUUUCGUUUUGGGCACGAUGAAGCUUCCUGCCAGUGUGGUCCUUCAGUAUCCAUUUCUAUUGUACUCUAGCUUGGAUACUGUGUUAAAGCCACGAGUCCUUCUUGCAGGGAAGAUAGAUGACAUGGGUCUUGAUUCGCAGAUUAAGCGACCCACAAUGCUUAGGGCACUGAGGAUGACAGAGAUGAGGUUUUUAAAGGUGUUUGUCAAGUGUCACCCGAAAGAUGUUGCUGAUGAAUUGUUAGAGUUCUACAAAUGCGCCAAAGGGAUCAAGCGAUUGGCAGAAGCCUCAAAGAAAAACAUUCGCUUGGGAUUCCCAUUUUGAAGUUUUGUUCACUGGCUGCACUGUUUUUAGCCGCUGGAAUCCAUUUUUGGACAGUCGUAAUCGUUUUAAACAAAUGCUUGUCGUAUAUUUCAUACAAGCUGGGAAACAGGAAAAUAAGAUAAAGACAAUGCUGAGUUGGCUAGAGAAUGAGCUGCAACAUUAGCAUCCCUUUUGGCAUGAAUAACAUGAGCUGAACGAAAUUGUUUCAGAGUACUCUUAGCAUUGUCAAUUAAUUGUCCAUGUGAGCAUAACUUCAGAUUAGGAUCAUUCAAACCAUUAACCGCCUGUCAACAGUCAACUUCAAAUAUCACCUUUCCCAGUCCUAUUUCUUGGCAAAACUUCAUAGCUUCCAACACACCAAAAGUUUCUGCAGCAACUGGUUCCAAUUGGAUCUCCAGAGGUUUUUCUAAAUGAGCAAUAUCAGGUGGUAACCAUCUGGUCACAGUUCUGGACAUUGAUUGGGACGACAUUCUCAUACGCUGGACCACUUUAUACAGAUCAUAAGAUUGUUGAGGAAUUAACUACUUCAUUUGGAUGUGAAAUCUUCAUAAGUGAUGGUUAGUACAAUAAUAAUGCCUGAUCUACACACCAUGGCCCAGCUUUGGGGCCUAAUUCUCUCUUACUGUGCACAUCUUGUUAUCCCAUUCAGUUAUUAUUUUCUAGUGAUCUCAUGGCCUGGUGAGUCCUAUUUUUCCAGGAAGCUCCUGUCAAACUAUCUUCUACUUCCCUCUGAAAUAACUUAUGCAAGGAUAGUGUUGAACUUGCAUCCAUGAACAAUAAAUUCUAGGGGAUGCGCGAUGACUUUUCCUUUUAUCUGUUUCUUUCCAAGUCUAUAUCAUAAUUAAAAAAAAAAAUUAGAUUGAUUAUUUCGUCUGUACAGCCUUUGAGAUGCAAUAUUCUAAAGCAGAUUUGCCUCUCUGACUCUUUCUCGCCCUUUCCGUAUUCUGUCUUAUGUUUCUGGAUACACAGUCUGACAGGUUAGUAACCUCAAAGGAGAUGGUUGAAUAUCAUAUCUUGAAUCCUUGUCAAGUCUGAUGAAACAACAGCUCUUAUGGCAUCGUAUUGGUAGGUACUCUUGGUCAAUAAAUAUAAUACUUGAUAUUAAAAAGUUGUCUUUCUCCAGUUUUAUCUAUUCGAUUGUGCUUUCUUUUGUUCUCUGUGGUUAUUUUGGAGCAGAACUCAUAAUAUAGUCAUCAUGAGGUGAUAUUGAUGGAAAGCAAGCUUCCAUUUAAAAUUGUCAGCCAAAAUUCA